UUUUUUAAUUGGACAAAACGUAUGCCAUGUCUGACACGGUGUUAAAACGUGCUGACACGGUGCUACAUCUUAUAAAUGAGGAAGUCAAAGACCCCAGGAGGAGACAGUCUGAUUUUAUAAUUAAGUAUGUUUUCAAUAUAUACAGCAAAGGACAUAUUCAAAGAGGCAAUACAAGCGCUAAGUGAACAAAUGAAAACAGGGCUUUUCAGCAAGUUUUUAAAUAAAAAAAUAAAUACCGCUAAUCAACAGGCCACCAAAGAUGGACGAGAACAAUGUCGGUAACCGCGUCAGGAAGAGCUGUUGGUGGAGUGUGCAUAGGUGUCCCGCCGGUGAAGUACAGUUUGAUAAGAUGAAGGGAAAGCCCAGUGAUGACGCACAGGCUGUGAUGCUCUGGCUGCUCUCCUGGGGAUUUAUCCAAAGGGGAUAGCUGGACAAACGAGUGAAGACUUAUACAGGCUCUCUGUUAAUUAUCGAAAACGGUGAAAAGCUGGAAACGAUCUAAAUGCCCCGCUCCAAAUGAAACGGGUCAAAUGAAUUAUGAGACAACCAGUGUGACCCUGCAACCUUUAAAAAUCUAUCUUCAUCUCUUUUUUUAACAAGGUUGACAAUUUAUUGUUAAGUGUAAGAGGCAGGUUACAACAUCUAUUGGGAGAAGUUUAGUGUGUAGAGCCAGAAGGAAAAUUCUAGGUCACUGAGUCAGCUAAGGUGCUUCCAGAUGAAGAAAACAUAAUUCAGCUGAUGGAAAUGCUAAAGAGGAUUGAAAGGCUUUUGACACCAUGCAAUCCAGGCUGCAGAUCCGUUUCUCUGCGGUGGUCUGGAUCCUGUCCCCACUCUGUGGGCAGCCUUGGGUCUCAGGCUGACUUCCCUCAUCGUCACAACUUGGCUGCCAGCAGCUGGCACGGCUACAGGCACCCUUGUUCACAGCCAGGGAAGUGAGAGCUCUGCCCCGCCCAGUUGAGACUUGGGUGCCUGCUCUCCUGUAAGCAAGCGCAUUGUAAAGGCGGGUGGCCUCACUCUGCUUAGGCCAGUCAGGGCCCAUCCCUGGAGCAAGGCUUGUGGUCAGCCACCCCCAAACUCCGUGACCAUUACAGAGCGGGGCAUGGGUGGGGUGGGUGACCGCAUGACAUCCACUGCAGGAAGGCCCCCAAAAUGCUACCAGGGUUGCCCUGAUUAGAGGGACGACAAAGAGUUGUUUGUUUGGAAAUAUUCUGUAUUUUAAGAGAUUCAGAAAUAUCUUUCAGAGAGGCUCGCCUUUCCGUGAAUUUCUCACCCAACUUUACGCCAAGAAAACUCCCUCCUACAUGGUUCUGCUGCUGCUGCUGCUAAGUCGCUUCAGUCGUCUCCGACUCUGUGGGACCCCAUAGACAGCAGCCCACCAGGCUCCCCCGUCCCUGGGAUUCUCCAGGCAAGAACACCGGAGUGGGUUGCCAUUUCCUUCUCCAAUGCGUGAAAGUGAAAGUGAAGUCGCUCAGUCGUGUCCAACUCUUCGAGACCCCAUGGACUGCAGCCUACCAGGCUCCUCUGUCCAUGGGAUUUUCCAGGCAGGACCCACUCCCAUCUGUUCACGAGGAGUCUGGACGUGACCUCCAGCCUGGACCCAUGCACACCGCCG
ensembl:lncRNA